UGCCCAAGGAUUCAACGGCCGCGGUACUCUGACCGUGCGAAGGUAGCACAAUCACUUGUUCUUUAAAUGAGGACUAGAAUCAAUGGCAUCACGAGGGUCACACUGUCUCCUUUUUUUAAUCAGUGAAAUUGAUCUCCCCGUGAAGAAGCGGGGAUAACCUUAUAAGACGAGAAGACCCCAUGGAGCUUCAAACUCAACGGAUAACUCUAUAACCAUAAGAUAUUUUAAGGGACCUAUCCGCUAGUUUUGGGUUGGGGUGACCACGGAGAACAACCUAACCUCCGUAAUGAAAAGAAAUCAUAAUCCAAGAGCUACACCUCUAAGAAUUAACAAAUUAACAUACAGUGAUCCAUUUUAUUGAUCAAUGAACCAAGUUACCCUGGGGAUAACAGCGCUAUCCA
rnacentral:rRNA from 1 species